UACGAGGGGGGCGAGCGUUGUUCGGAAUUAUUGGGCGUAAAGGGUGCGUAGGCGGUUCCGCAAGUCCUGUGUGAAAUCUUCGGGCUCAACUCGAAGUCUGCACGGGAAACUGCGGGGCUUGAGUGUGGGAGAGGUGAGUGGAAUUCCCGGUGUAGCGGUGAAAUGCGCAGAUAUCAGGAGGAACACCAAUGGCGAAGGCAGCACUCUGGGACGGUACUGACGCUGAGACGCGAAAGCGUGGGGAGCAAACAGG
rnacentral:rRNA from 1 species